GAGAUCCCAGCCAGCCUCAGAGCUGAGCGUCCAGGGCCUUCAAAUGUCCCCAUCCUUGAAAAGGCAACUCCAGUGGCAUCUUCUGCGGGGAGACCAGAAGCAGCAUCUGACGAGGAGACAGCACUGGCGGUCCCGACACAACUGAAUCGGCAGGAUGAGGGCCCUUAGUGUUAGGCACCGGCGGAGCUGCAUCCCACCCCGUCUCGUCCCCUGAGAACAGCUGUGAGAAGCCGCCUAUUUUUCAUCGUUCUGCAACACACCUUUCCCUUCCUUGGGAUAUUUCUCCUCUUUCAGCAUUGCCGCAUCAGGGUUCCAAAGCCCCGUUUCUCUCCUAGUUCUUUCUUUGCUCAAGAAAAGCAGCUUGUCUGAUAAACUAAGCUAUGUAUGAUUCGCUGCCAGUACAGACUGAAAAACAAAAUAAACUCCCAAUUCACAGUCCUCCGUUGCGUAACAGUGAGCAGACGUUCUGAGAAAUGCAUCGUCAGGCAAUUGCAUCAUUGUGCAAACAAUAUAGAGUGUACUUACCCAAACCUAAACAGCACAGCCUACUACACACCCAGGCUGUAGGCUGUGCUUCUAGACUACAAACCUGUACAGUGUGGUACUGAACACUGUAGGCAACUGUAACACAAUGGUGUACCUAAUUCCUCUGCCUAGAAAGUGUGCUGGAAUUACUGCCUGGCUUCUGAUGAAUAGGGCGUAUUGAGAGUGAUGCUUUGUGAGUUCUGAGGCUAGGUCAUAGAAAGGAUUGAACUUAUUCCUGAAUGUUGCUCUUGGAUCACUUGCUUUUUUGGGAACCACCAGCCAUGUCAUGAGGACACUCAAGCAACCCUGCAGAGAAGCACAUGUGUGGAGAGGCACUUCUUGGAAAGGAGGCCAACUUGCCAGAACCAACUAAUUUGUCAUGUGAGUGAGUCAUUUUGGAAGCAGAUCCUCUACCCUCAGUCAGGCCUUCCGAUGAUUUCAGCCCCCAGCCUUUGAGUCUGCCCCAAACACCAUGAGUAGAGACAAGCCCUUCCCACUGUGUCCACCCUGGCUGAAUUCCAGACCGUUAAAAAAACAAGAGAAAAUAAAUUAUUAUUAGUGUUUUGAGUCACUAAGUUUUGGACUAAUUUGUUAUGCAGCAAUAGCUAACA
rnacentral:lncRNA from 1 species